UACGUAGGGGGCAAGCGUUGUCCGGAAUCAUUGGGCGUAAAGCGCGCGUAGGCGGCUCGAUCAGUCUGCUGUAAAAGUCAAAGGCUCAACCUUUGAAAGCCGGUGGAUACUGUCGAGCUAGAGUCCGGAAAAGGCGAGUGGAAUUCCUGGUGUAGCGGUGGAAUGCGCAGAUAUCAGGAGGAACACCAACGGCGAAGGCAGCUCGCUGGGACGGUACUGACGCUAAGGCGCGAAAGCGUGGGAGCGAACGAGG
rnacentral:rRNA from 1 species